UUAAAUUUAAAAAUUCCGGUAUAAAUAGUGAGUUUAUAAGUGGAAAUAAAUUACACAUUCAUUUGUUAACGAAACUAGAAUCAUGAAUUCCAAACUUUGCUUAGUCUUUGUUGUCAUAGCCCUUUUGGCAGUUUUAGCCCCAGCAAUGGCGGAUCCGCAAUUGGGAAUUUUAGGACAGGUAAAAGAAUUGGCCGAUCAAAUUCUUAGUAUUGCCGGAGCUCACAAUGAUGAUGAAAACGAUGUACAAACAGCUACAGCUCGUCGUGGAUAGAACUCUUACAAUAUAUACAAUCUUUAUUGCUUUGUAUUAUUUUAAAAUUCCAAUUUGAAGCAAGUGUUGGAUAUAAAUUGAUACUUAGAUCUUUCGGUGCAUUGUAUUAUUUUAAAACUAAUGCCAAUGCAAUAAAAGUAGUUUAUUAA